UAUAAUGCAGUCGACGAACUCUGGUAUUGAUUGGUGCUUGCAUCAUGAUUUACAUUUGAGUGAGUGGCGAACUGGUGAGUAACACGUGGGAAACCUGCCCAGAAGCGGGGGAUAACACCUGGAAACAGAUGCUAAUACCGCAUAACAACUUGGACCGCAUGGUCCGAGUUUGAAAGAUGGCUUCGGCUAUCACUUUUGGAUGGUCCCGCGGCGUAUUAGCUAGAUGGUGGGGUAACGGCUCACCAUGGCAAUGAUACGUAGCCGACCUGAGAGGGUAAUCGGCCACAUUGGGACUGAGACACGGCCCAAACUCCUACGGGAGGCAGCAGUAGGGAAUCUUCCACAAUGGACGAAAGUCUGAUGGAGCAACGCCGCGUGAGUGAAGAAGGGUUUCGGCUCGUAAAACUCUGUUGUUAAAGAAGAACAUAUCUGAGAGUAACUGUUCAGGUAUUGACGGUAUUUAACCAGAAAGCCACGGCUAACUACGUGCCAGCAGCCGCGGUAAUACGUAGGUGGCAAGCGUUGUCCGGAUUUAUUGGGCGUAAAGCGAGCGCAGGCGGUUUUUUAAGUCUGAUGUGAAAGCCUUCGGCUCAACCGAAGAAGUGCAUCGGAAACUGGGAAACUUGAGUGCAGAAGAGGACAGUGGAACUCCAUGUGUAGCGGUGAAAUGCGUAGAUAUAUGGAAGAACACCAGUGGCGAAGGCGGCUGUCUGGUCUGUAACUGACGCUGAGGCUCGAAAGUAUGGGUAGCAAACAGGAUUAGAUACCCUGGUAGUCCAUACCG
rnacentral:rRNA from 1 species